rnacentral:misc_RNA from 1 species
AUUUCGUUAAGUUUGGAAUCUGGCAAUAUUUUUUUAUUAAUUACGAAAAAUGGAGUUUCAGAUUAUUAACAAAUUCAUUUUGCCGGUAUUAAGCUUUGUAAUCGCAGUGUUCGGAAUCUAUCAACUAUAUUCUCAUCGUGAAAAAAAUAUGUGCGAGAUGACAUACAUGUUUGAAUACCCAGAAUAUAUGAGAAUCCCUAUAAAACCUGAUCAGUUCAAUAAAUUUGCUCGCUAUGCAUUAUAUGUGUACGGUGAAGGGAAAUAUUUUGAAGAAAUCGAAAAUGGGAAAUUAUCUGGAAUUCCAGUCCUGUUUAUACCUGGAAAUGCUGGAAGUCAUCGUCAAGUUAGAUCCCUGGCAUCUGUUGCUCUGAGAAUGGGACAUUCUUUGCAUUCCUCUAACCAUUUUAAUUUUUUCACAAUAAAUUUUAAUGAAGAAAUAUCUGGGCUUUACGGUGGAACUUUAAUGGAACAAACAUAUUUUGUGAAUGAGUGCAUUAACCACAUUCUCAACAUGUACCCAACAAAUAAAAAAAUAAUUCUGAUUGGUCACUCAAUGGGUGGUGUUCUUUCCGAAGCUAUAUUUUCUCUUCCUUCAUUUGAUUCAUCUAUUAUUUCAUUAAUCAUCACUUUAGCAGCACCUCUUAAAGCACCUGUGAUUGUGCUUGAUGAAAAAACAGCAGAAUUUUAUAAAAUGAUUCAUGAAGCAUGGAAAUAUAGAUUAAGGAGUUCACUCAUGAAUGUCCCUUUAGUGUCCAUUGGAGGUGGGGACAGAGAUAUCCUUGUAAGAAGUGACCUAACAUUUAAUGAAUUUAAGCACAAAAGUAUAUUGGAUGUUACUGCUAUGACCAAUUCUAUACCAGGUGUUUGGGUUUCUGCAGAUCAUUUAGCUAUUACUUGGUGUAAGCAGCUGAUACUAACUAUUUGCCGUAGUCUAUUUGAUUUAAUUGACCCACAAACUAAUCAAAUUACCAGCAAGCCAGAUGUUAUUGAGAAAGUGCUGAAAUAUCAUUAUGUUCGCCGACCCUCUGGUAAACAUUAUUCGAGACUACCUUCAGUUCCUAUUGGAACAUUUCCUCCAUCAGGUCAAUGGAUUGAACAGGAUAGCAAUGCCUGGCGUUUUUCUCGGUCUAAGGUUCUUUCUGCAAUAUAUCUUCUGAUUCCAAUCACACAUGAUGACAGUAUACUGAUUAUUGCCACUGGCCUUGUUAAAAAAGAGUGGAUAUAUGGAUGUACUGAACUGUCUAAAUCAGAAAUGACAACAUGUUCAGUUGGGGAGAAUUUGUCAGACAAAGGUCAAAUUAUUCCAUCCAAAAGUAAAAAAGGGGAAAGAAGAAUGAUUGUGGUUGAUAGUGAAGAGCUGAAAGAUAAGAAAUACUUGUAUCUUCUGGUUUAUAUCACUCCUUUGGACUCCCAGGUUGAUAUUAUUGGCGAAAGGUUCAAUUCUAAUCUCCGUUCCAAAAAUAUAGAGCUUCCAUCCCUUAUACAAAGAUUCUUCAAGCCACCUGUCAGACUUUUAAGUGUCUCAUUGCCUGAACAAUCUAUAUUCUUCAACAUUACACUCAAAAAUAGUUAUGGUAUAUAUGAGUCUACAGAACUGCAACUUGAAACAAGACUUUGUAGAGCUGGAAGUGUUGUUGGUCAAGGUCUUGUGAAAAUUCAUCUGCCUUGCAACAAUGAAGAUUCUUAUCACCAUAUCAGGUUAUAUUGUUUUAACUGCUUGCAUUGUAUUAUUUUUUAUUCUUUCUAAAUUGCAGAAAGGAACAAUUUAUUUUGAAAAAUAGACCACAAAAACUAGCCACGACUACAAUGGGAGGAUUAACUACUAUACCUGUAAAACCUCACACCCUACCUUCAUUUGAAUCUGGCUGUGAAGUCCAUUUAGAGUUAUAUUUAGAUCCAGAAUGCAGCAUUGUUUUAUAUGCCAAAUUCCCUUUCUA